rfam:Schistosoma rodhaini strain Burundi genome assembly, scaffold: SROB_contig0006121
AUCCAGCUGAUGAGUCACAAAUAGGGCGAAACGAGCGUCCUGGAU